rnacentral:lncRNA from 1 species
CCAAGAACAAGAACAACUAAAUCAAUGAAAGUAUUAGAAACAUAUGUUAGAGAAGACGAUAAAUAAAACGAAUAAAUAUUAAGAAGGAAAAUCACUUACAUGAACUGAACAAAUAACAUAAUUAAAUGAAGAGAGUCGCACAAUAAACAAGAGGAAGGAAGAAAAUAUUUUCACCAAAUGAGCAGUUUUCCAAAUAAAAAAUGAUAGAAGAAGUUAGGGUUUUAAACAAAAAUUGGAGAUUUUUAAGCAAAAAUAUAUGUUGUAAAUGGAUCAUUCUCCAAUCUGAAAAUUGUUACACAAAAAACACAAACCCCCCACUAGAGAGAAAGAAAUUGAAGAAAAAAGUUGAUAAACAUUAAGUAAGAUCAAUAACAAGAAAGAUGUAUACCUUGAUUCAAGAGAUAAAUGGAGGGUGGUAUCGUGAAGAUUGCAUGUGAAUGAGAUUGUUGGCGGCGGUCGAUGAGGUUGCUCGUUGAAGGAAGGAGUUAGUGGUGGAGCUAAUUGCAAACGAUGGACGACAAGGUUGCUCGCGGUUUGCGGAUAGACGUGUCGGCGUUAGACAAAGGGGUUGACAACAAAUGGAGUAUUUGAAGCAACUCUCGCAAACAAAUUGAGGGUUUGAAGGAUUUUGCAGCGAAAAUGAAAAAUUAUUGUUUUGAGGCGGGACUAUGAAAUGAAAUAGAAUAGUUUUGAGA